GUUGAGUUAAGAAACAAUUGUGGAGUAAAUCCUAAGAUGAUUCAAAAGCUGUCAACGAGGAUGCCUAGCUUA